UUUUCAUUGACUCAACUGACAUAUACACAUAUGGAUAUAUAUACAUAUAUAUACACACAGAUAUAUACAUCUGAUAAUUUCUAAUUUAUGUAAAAUGUUAUGCUGAAAAGCAGAAUCACAAUCACACAUUUUUCCACUCUGCUUCUAACAUCACCUUAUCUUUUGGAUGCAAAUAUCAUGUUACACCAGCAAAAUGCAGGGGAAGGAAGAGCUGAUUUGAAGGUGUGUUUUUGUCUUGUUGUCAGGCAACCACUGGACUUGCCGAUCCUCGUCCAAAACCACCGAAUCUUCUGUAAAGAAAUUUUCAAGUGCAAGGCCACCACUGGUCAUCUUCUUUCCCUGUGAUACCUCUUUGGCGUAAGAGGUUAAUAUCCUGGGACUUCUAAGCCUCCCUCUCUUAACAUCAGCUCGUUUUUUCAUGAUGCCUGUGAAGGUACUUCUACGCAUCAGGAACCAAGAGAGAAUGUGAAUUCCCCAUCGGGAGAGUGGAGGAGACUUCCCAGGCCACCACAACACCGAGCGAUAGCAUGCUUUUCAUGUCUUGCUUUUAAUUUCUGCUGUUUCAUGUGACCCCCAGGUAGUCAUGGAAAGGUUUUUCCAAAUGUACGCUCUUGUUAUGGGUGAAACACAAAGUCUGUGGAAGGCUGUGGAGACACUCCCACCAGUACUCAUCGUCCUGUGCCAUGUGCUGCAACUGAGGAACUAUCCGUGCUCACCACUGCUGCAUUUCCAGGAAAUGCUGAAGUCAUUUACUGUUUAUGUUAAGGAGCAUCAAAUGUAAGUGAAAUGGUAUAACUAGGUUGCCAAAAACAUAUAACGAGGUUGGCUGUAAAAGUAGGUGGCAGGCACAACAAACUGGAUUACUGUAUUCCAGUUUUUCCAUGUUACCAAUUCUCCCUGCCCUUUCAAAGAAGUCAGCAUAAGGCUUUAAUAAAUUGAUAUGAUCUGUAAUUAAAAUAUCAGACCCAAUCCUGAAUAUAUUACUUGCUCAGGGAUAGGUUCAGUGAUGUGGUGACUGACAUCAUUCUGCCUUUUGAAUGUAAAGACUGUGAGUGCUUGAUGCUCCUGUUAACUACCAGGCAAUGGAUUAUUAUUUUGUACUUCAGAAGCCAUCUACUAAUUUUCAGUAAGACUUCAACUUCUAAGUGACUUGGAUGUUUCUGAAAAAGUCACACUCCCUCUUUCUUUUGGAAAGGAAAACACUCAAAGUGUGUUUUGUAAGAUUACAGAUAAUUAAACGGCAUGACAAUGAAAACAAAUAAAUAAAACUUAAUCCAGAUUUCAACUAAAUAGAAGUGAUGAGAUUGAAUUUCUCUCUGGAAAAAAACUCUGCUGGCUUAGAGCAAGAGUGAUUCUAUCCCACGGUUUCUGGUUAACUUACAAAAGCAGGAG